rnacentral:rRNA from 1 species
CAGCCGCCGCGGGAAUACGAAGGGUGCAAGCGUUAAUCGGAAUUACUGGGCGUAAAGCGUGCGUAGGCGGUGAGUUAAGUCUGCUGUGAAAUCCCCGGGCUCAACCUGGGAAUGGCAGUGGAUACUGGCUCGCUAGAGUGUGUCAGAGGAUGGUGGAAUUCCCGGUGUAGCGGUGAAAUGCGUAGAGAUCGGGAGGAACAUCAGUGGCGAAGGCGGCCAUCUGGGACAACACUGACGCUGAGGCACGAAAGCGUGGGGAGCAAACAGGGUUAGAUACCCCAGUAGUCCCUGUCUCUUAUAC